rnacentral:lncRNA from 1 species
GUCAAAAACGGCAUCAGACACUGGAUCCCCCAAAUUCACACGAGUAUCUGCCGUACAGAUCCCACAAACCAUUACACCCCAGGGGGCUUCUGGCUCAUCUACAGGAUUCACCUUGUGUGAACGCAUGCAAGGAGCUGUUCAGAUAAACAAAACCACCUUCCAGGAGAGGUUUCCACUAUUUCUACCUUGAUAAUUGUUCCAAGUGUGUUGCAGGGAAUUUUUUAAAAAUAUUUUGCCUCAAAAAAAAAAAAAUCGACAGCUCGACACUCACGCAAGCUUACGUGGAAAAGUGGAAAACAGAAGGAAGACAAAAGCUGUACAACUAUUCUUUUGUCAGCUGGAGCUGCUAAUCCAAACUCACCACAAAGUUUUAUCGCAGCACUGAUCUCCCCGCGAAGUUGUCAUCGCACGGGAGGGACACGAGCUGUAUCAGAGGCGAGGUUAAUUGGGAAGCAGGACGAGAUGGCUGCACCGCCGCUCGCAGCCCUUCCCACGGAGCCGAGCACACCCGGCGCGGACACACCCUUUCCCCAAAAUACGCUGGGCCGGGGCGUGAAAGGGAGCCGAAGGAGCCCGAGUGACCCCGGCUGAGGAAUGCCAGGAAUCCCCCGAGGAAUGCGGGCGGCCCCCGGCCCCCCUCAGCGCCCUCUCAGCCCACCUGAGGGCAGGGCUCCCGCUGCCCCCCCGCUGCCUCACGGCCGGGCAGGGCUCGGCGCCCUCGGCCUGCGGGGGGCGGCGGCGGAGCCCCCACGCGGUGCGGGACCCCUGAGGAGAUCCCUGAGGAGAUCCCUGAGGAGAUCCGCGGGGCCGCCGCCCCCCUCCCCGAGCUCCCCGGGCCGCCGCCUCUCCUCACCCGUCCCGAGGCGCUGCCCUCCGCGCGGGAUCCCGGCAGCUCCGUGCCGCGUUCGCCGCCGGAGCCGAGCGCCGCCCGCCCGCCCCCUCGGCGGGGGAGGGGGCCGGGGCCGGGGCCGGGGCCGGGCCGGGCGGAGCCCCGCGGGGCCGCUCCCUCAGGUGAGCGAGGGGCGGCCUCGGGCGCGCGCGGCCGUUUCCCGCCCACGGGCGGCCGUUGGGCUCCCUGAGGGGAGCGCGGGCCUGCCUCAGGCCGGAGCCGCCCGCAGCACACCACACCUAGGGAUUGCGCAGGGCGGAAAACAAAACACAAAAACAAACAGAACCACGCGCGACUGCUCCUACUUCGUUCAGGCUGCGGGAAACGGUGCCGGGACGAAAAGGGGCGGCUGGGACAGCCCGCUGCAGCUGCAGCCCAGCGCCGGGCCCAGAUCCCACAAUCAUCCAUCAUCUAGAGAAGAACUUUACAGCCUAAUUGUGAGUCAGCCCAGAACAUUUAAGUAUCCUUACUGA